GAAUUGGGGAGCUUUGUUUCUCUGUCAUGCUGGUCAAAUUGAACCCCACCAAGGAAGAGUAGCCAGAGUGCAUACUUGUAAGGUAGCCUGCUGCUCAGAGUGUUGGCCAGGGAUAAUGAAGAUCUGCAUGCUCCCACAAACUGCCUGAACCAGAUUUAAGGAAGGGGAAUAAUGCCAUGGAGCAGCGUCUGGGAGAGAGGGGUGAGAGACACAAGAGAACAGCCUUGCAGGUAGCCCUGAGGCUCCAGGCACACAGCAGCAGCUCCCUGCAGCCCAGAAGAGGCCCACAAAGGAGAAGGCCAUCCCCCUGCAGCCUGUGGGAUCUGCCCGUGCAGCUACAGUGGAGCCUGUGGGGCAGCAGUGGAUGAGGCUUGAAGGAGAAGGGGGAAUGAGGGUGGUAUGGUGGAGUUCAGCUGCCAGUCAGGGUGAAACUGCCACAGUGAAGCACUGGAGUGCCAUCUGUAAGUUACUGGGAAAAAGAAAACAACCAACCAACCAACCAA
ensembl:lncRNA